rnacentral:rRNA from 1 species
UGACCUCGGAUCAGGUAGGGAUACCCGCUGAACUUAAGCAUAUCAAUAAGCGGAGGAAAUCAUUACUGAG